rnacentral:rRNA from 1 species
AUUGAACGCUGGCGGCAUGCCUUACACAUGCAAGUCGAACGGCAGCACGGGGGCAACCCUGGUGGCGAGUGGCGAACGGGUGAGUAAUGCAUCGGAACGUGCCCAGUAGUGGGGGAUAACCAGUCGAAAGAUUGGCUAAUACCGCAUACGACCUACGGGUGAAAGCGGGGGACCGUAAGGCCUCGCGCUAUUGGAGCGGCCGAUGUCGGAUUAGCUAGUUGGUGGGGUAAAGGCCCACCAAGGCGACGAUCCGUAGCUGGUCUGAGAGGACGAUCAGCCACACUGGAACUGAGACACGGUCCAGACUCCUACGGGAGGCAG